UGGGAGAUGGUGAAAAUAUCACGGGCGGUUGUCACUCGUCAGUUGCGUUUAAAGUAGCGUUCUUCCAU